GUGAACGCUGGCGGUAGGCCUAACACAUGCAAGUCGAACGGCAGCACAGUAAGAGCUUGCUCUUACGGGUGGCGAGUGGCGGACGGGUGAGGAAUACAUCGGUAUCUACUUUUUCGUGGGGGAUAACGUAGGGAAACUUACGCUAAUACCGCAUACGACCUACGGGUGAAAGCAGGGGAUCUUCGGACCUUGCGCGAUUGAAUGAGCCGAUGUCGGAUUAGCUAGUUGGCGGGGUAAAGGCCCACCAAGGCGACGAUCCGUAGCUGGUCUGAGAGGAUGAUCAGCCACACUGGAACUGAGACACGGUCCAGACUCCUACGGGAGGCAGCAGUGGGGAAUAUUGGACAAUGGGCGCAAGCCUGAUCCAGCCAUACCGCGUGGGUGAAGAAGGCCUUCGGGUUGUAAAGCCCUUUUGUUGGGAAAGAAAAGCAGCAGGUUAAUACCCCGCUGUUCUGACGGUACCCAAAGAAUAAGCACCGGCUAACUUCGUG
rnacentral:rRNA from 1 species